CAGAGCCAAAUUCAACUUCUUACCUUGUGUGAUAGAGACGUGAAGAGAGAGAGGUUUUGCAGGACAAGCCAAGAUGCAAGAAACAAGGCUGAGGACUUGUCUUUCAAUCAAGAAGAAGGUUCCAAACAGAAUGUUCCCAGGAGGAGAGGCAGUUGAAGCUGGCUGAAGGACCCUUGGAGGGCUGGCUUGGCUUGGGGGCUCUGACCAAAGGAGGAACUGAUUCUGUCUCUCUCUCUGGGAGCUGAAGUUGGUCAGGGGGAUUCUCUCUCCCUGGGGUGAACUGACUAAGAAAGGAUGGAGAAACCUCUGCUCUCUCUGGGGGUUGACUGACCAAGAAAGGAGGAAAUAAGGCAAUAUUGAGGCUGGGAGGGACUUUGUAAUACAUUGUGGAGAAGUGGUAUUCAUCUGACAUGUCAGACUGUUGUCCUGCAAGAAACUCGAGUUCCUUUCUUAUGUUGGCUACUUCUGGCAAAUCUAGGUGUAUCAAUCACCACAUGGCAAGAGGAGUUAAGAAACAAGACAAGAAAUCCUUUGGAUUCAAUGGCAAUAAUAAUGCACUCUGAUGUGGCUGGGGAUGUUCACUAUCAAGGACAAGCACUUACAGAAAGAAAAUCUUGCAUUGCAUUUUUUUUUUGCAUUGCAUUUUUGAUGCAGAGGAAGCAGAAACUCGAGUCAUCAAUCUGAGUUAAUUGACUGUCACUGACUCCUAACAAUUAGAUACUUCUCCUUUUGUCCUACAUGUUUGGGUGAGAAAAUCUGGUGAAAAAGAAUAGUUGACUAAAUUCGAGAAAAUAUGUAAGAGAAACAGGUGCAGGAAAAAAUGAGACUGAUAAUCAAGCCUCAUAUCUUAUGGCAACCCAAACUGUUUUAUUACUUCCAAAAAUGAUUAGAAGACCACUCUAUUGAAUAUAAUCAAAUAUUAUUAUUGUUAUUAUUAUUAGAAUGAAGCACCUAGGAUGCCCCCUCUCAUAUGUGGGUUCCCUGGAACAACUAUUCCAGGUUCAAGGUUCAUUAUGCAUCCAUAUCCACUCAAAACCAUUCCUCUUGAGCCCAUACUUUUGAUUCUUCAGGCAGACAGAGGACAUAAUUAGUUCGAAGCAAAGGCAUUUAGUAAAAUAUUAUAAAAAUAAUUAAGCUAUGUUGAUCUGUAGUAUACUUUGAAAAUUUCCCAUGAGAAACUCUGUUUUCCUUCAGUGCUUCUUCUUCAAUACUGUACUUAAAAACAGGCCACCCACAUCAUUUCAAUUCUAACAUGGUUUUAUGUGAAGGUAGAGGGAACAUAAGUCAAAAUAAAAAGAUGAAGAUUAAAACA
ensembl:lncRNA